rnacentral:rRNA from 1 species
AGUGAACGCUGGCGGUAGGCCUAACACAUGCAAGUCGAACGGCAGCACAGAGGAGCUUGCUCCUUGGGUGGCGAGUGGCGGACGGGUGAGGAAUACAUCGGAAUCUACUCUGUCGUGGGGGAUAACGUAGGGAAACUUACGCUAAUACCGCAUACGACCUACGGGUGAAGGCAGGGGAUCUUCGGACCUUGCGCGAUUGAAUGAGCAGAUGUCGGAUUAGCUAGUUGGCGGGGUAAAGGGCCACCAAGGCGACGAUCCGUAGCUGGUCUGAGGGGAUGAUCAGCCACACUGGAACUGAGACACGGUCCAGACUCCUACGGGAGGCAGCAGUGGGGAAUAUUGGACAAUGGGCGCAAGCCUGAUCCAGCCAUACCGCGUGGGUGAAGAAGGCCUUCGGGUUGUAAAGCCCUUUUGUUGGGAAAGAAAUCCAUCUGGUUAAUACCCGGGUGGGAUGACGGUACCCAAAGAAUAAGCACCGGCUAACUUCGUGCCAGCAGCCGCCGUAA